CCUACGGGUGGCAGCAGUCGAGAAUCAUUCACAAUGGGGGAAACCCUGAUGGUGCGACGCCGCGUGGGGGAAUGAAGGUCUUCGGAUUGUAAACCCCUGUCAUGUGGGAGCAAAUUAAAAAGAUAGUACCACAAGAGGAAGAGACGGCUAACUCUGUGCCAGCAGCCGCGGUAAUACAGAGGUCUCAAGCGUUGUUCGGAAUCACUGGGCGUAAGGCGUGCGUAGGCUGUUUCGUAAGUCGUGUGUGAAAGGCGCGGGCUCAACCCGCGGACGGCACAUGAUACUGCGAGGCUAGAGUAAUGGAGGGGGAACCGGAAUUCUCGGUGUAGCAGUGAAAUGCGUAGAUAUCGAGAGGAACACUCGUGGCGAAGGCGGGUUCCUGGACAUUAACUGACGCUGAGGCACGAAGGCCAGGGGAGCGAAAGGGAUUAGAUACCCCGGUAGUC
rnacentral:rRNA from 1 species